ACUUUCAGUAGUGAGGAAAGGUGUAUAGUUAAUAGCAUUACACUGUGACGUUAGCUACAGAAAGAAGCACCGGCAAACUCCGUGCCAGCAGCCGCGGUAAUACGGAGGGUGCGAGCGUUAAUCGGAAUUACUGGGCGUAAAGCGCGCGUAGGCGGUUAUUUAAGUGAGGUGUGAAAUCCCCUGGGCUCAACCUAGGAACUGCAUUUCAAACUGGAUAACUUGAGUAUGUCAGAGGGUAUUGGAAUUUCCCCGUGUAGCAGUGAAAAUGCGUAGAUAUGGGAAGGAACAUCAGUGGCGAAGGCGAAUACCUGGGAUAAUACUGACGGUCCUGAGGUGCGAAAAGCGUCGGGGAGCAAACGGGAUUAGACUACCCUGGUAG
rnacentral:rRNA from 1 species